AUUGAACGCUGGCGGCAUGCUUUACACAUGCAAGUCGAACGGCAGCACGGGGGCAACCCUGGUGGCGAGUGGCGAACGGGUGAGUAAUAUAUCGGAACGUACCCGGAAAUGGGGGAUAACGUAGCGAAAGUUACGCUAAUACCGCAUAUGCCCUAAGGGGGAAAGCGGGGGAUUCGCAAGAACCUCGCGUUUUCGGAGCGGCCGAUAUCGGAUUAGCUAGUAGGUGAGGUAAAGGCUCACCUAGGCGACGAUCCGUAGCUGGUCUGAGAGGACGACCAGCCACACUGGAACUGAGACACGGUCCAGACUCCUACGGGAGGCAGCAGUGGGGAAUUUUGGACAAUGGGCGCAAGCCUGAUCCAGCCAUGCCGCGUGAGUGAAGAAGGCCUUCGGUUGGUAAAGCUACUUUCUAGCCGGAAAGAAAACGACACGGGUUAAUAACC
rnacentral:rRNA from 1 species